AUGAACGCUGGCGGCGUGCCUAAUACAUGCCAGUCGAGCGAACAGACGAGGAGCUUGCUCCUCUGACGUUAGCGGCGGACGGGCGAGUAACACGUGGAUAACCUACCUAUAAGACUGGGAUAACUUCGGGAAACCGGAGCUAAUACCGGAUAAUAUAUUGAACCGCAUGGUUCAAUAGUGAAAGACGGUUUUGCUGUCACUUAUAGAUGGAUCCGCGCCGCAUUAGCUAGUUGGUAAGGUAACGGCUUACCAAGGCAACGAUGCGUAGCCGACCUGAGAGGGUGAUCGGCCACACUGGAACUGAGACACGGUCCAGACUCCUACGGGAGGCAGCAGUAGGGAAUCUUCCGCAAUGGGCGAAAGCCUGACGGAGCAACGCCGCGUGAGUGAUGAAGGUCUUCGGAUCGUAAAACUCUGUUAUUAGGGAAGAACAAAUGUGUAAGUAACUAUGCACGUCUUGACGGUACCUAAUCAGAAAGCCACGGCUAACUACGUG
rnacentral:rRNA from 1 species